GCCCCUGUAGCUCACCUGGAUAGAGCGUAUGCCUCCUAAGCGUAAGGUAGUGAGUUCGAGUCUCGCCGGGGGUGCCA
rnacentral:tRNA from 1 species